AAUCACGCUGCCUCUGGAGACAGACUGCUUGGUUGGGAUCAGGCUCUGCUGCUUUCAGGCUGUGUGAGGAAGCAAUUUAGCCCCUCAGGCUUUAUUUUCUUCUCUACAAAACGGAAUAACAGUGGUGCCUAGAUAGUUGGGAACUAGUGAUAACUGAAUGAAUUGCUGUAAAGCUGAGAAAGGAUUGCUUAUAACAAUGGCUCAACAAUGUUAAUUAUUUGAGAACAAAACAUAAUGCUAUUUCCCUAGAGGUAUGCUGGCAGCAGGGGCCACUCAGACAUCCUCUGAAUUCACUUAUGACUGAAAGGUAUAAGAUUUUCUACUUGAACGUCUGCUCUUGAUGAGUUUCUGUUUUGCAUCAACUACAAGGCACAGAUGUCACCUCUCAUCUCUUUUAUUCAACAUGUAUUGAAGGUUCUAAUAAGUGCAAUUAGAGCAAAGAAAAAGAGGAAGAAAUAAAAUCAUGCCAAUGAGAAAGGAAGAACAACACUAUCUUACUCUCAAACAG
rnacentral:lncRNA from 1 species